CCAGCACCGCGCUGGGCCGAGACCCAGUGGUCUUCUCAGCGGGGGUCCAUCCGAGGGAGGCGGAGCGGCCCAGCCCGCAGCGCUGAGGCGGGAGGGAAGGGCGCUGCUGUGAGGGGUUGGUGGUUGGCUGCGGUGGUUCCCGCUCCUGCCCGGCAGAGCCGUUAGGGCAGCGAGGCGGUCGGUCCCCGUUGCACAGGGAGCAGGGACGGGGCAGAGCGCCCGGCUGCUGAGCGCUUGUUGGGUGUCUCUUGUGUUUGCAGUCGGUUCGCGGUGCUGGUGCUUCUCUGGGUAUCCUGAGGAACAUCACCGUGUUCCUCUGGGAACAGGGGAGCGGAGGGCGCUUGGUGGUGGUGGGUGCUUAGAAAUAAAUCUUUUCAGCUCGAGCAUAAGCGUUAAAUAAUACCUGGUUUGUGCCACCGCGUAGUGCUGAGGUUAAAAAGGCUGUUGCGUUUUUUGUCUAUGAGCCGUUUAUACUGAAAGAGUUCUUGGAAGAUUUGGGUUUAUUAUGACCCUUUAGGAGAGAAAGGUGCAGUGUAAGCUUUUAGCAAAAUACAGGAAACUAAGAGUGGAGCUCAGCUCCUUUGGUGUACUCAGACAUUGCUUUCUACCUAAAAGAAAAGAUGUCAGAAAGAAAGAAAGAAGAUGCAGUCAGAAGGAAUGAAAGAAACAAGCAUCUGUGAUUUGUAACAGAUUAAGUAUUUUAUAGCAUUUGGUAUCUUAAGUUACAGAGGUAUUGGUCAAAGCAAAAUUUCCCUUUAAAUAACCUCCAAAAGAUGAUUUUGUAAUUUAAAAACCCUACAUUCUUUCACUUAAACAGCUCAGAAUUUGGACAAAAGGUACCCUGUUGGUAUUGCCCAAUCCACAAAGGCUUUUCCUGGAUAAUAGGUGGCAGUUGUCUCAGGGUUUGCCCAAUACAGGCUCUAGAUUGUUAAAUUCUUUGUGUACUGUUAAAUCACCAAUUAUACAGUGAGCAAGAGGAAAAGAAUGUUUGCUUUCCUAGGUCAGUCUCGGUUUCUUGGUGUCAUACUCUCCCAGUCGACACCAGUUUGUUCAAAUGACUUAAUUCACGUGGUUUGGUUUUCUUCCAGGAUGCUUUUGCUCUUUCUACAUAAGUUUCCCUCUUCAGAUACGCUUAGUUUUGUACUUAAAGUAGUAGAAGGUGAAGUUGUUACGCACUGAAAAAUGGCAGGCUUCAAGCAUUGCACACCUAAAGUAAUCUUGAACAGAUAAAUGCAAAGAAUAUGAAGCAAUAACAUACUCUCUUGUGUAACUUGCCAAGCUAAAGUUUAUUAUCUUCAAUAGCUGUUGACCUCCUGGCAUAGUCAGAUGUUUUCAGACCACAUUUAGCUCUGUAUUUCCCACACAGAUAGUGAAAUUCUUGAUGAAACUUGUGUAGGUUACACCUUUGAAGUCCUCGUGGUGUUGGUAUUACAGUUAAUUAUGCUUCUCUCUAUGAAAAAAUCCUCAUUACUCUUAGUUUUUACUUAUUUACCACAACUUUCAGAAAAAUCUGGACCUACAACUUCACUACUCUUUGCUACUCUAUUGCCUGCACCCAUCUGUGUUUCUGGAAUAGGAAAUAUGGAAUAAGAGAGGAAAAACCUCCUCAGCAUCAGGGAACUAUUAAUGUGGUUUAUUCACUUGUGAAACUACAACCAGAGUCCUGUGAUGUCUUAUCUGCUAGGUGUGGGGAGAGCACAGCUACAGUGGAUUAGACAGGGCUCCUUGUAGAUGGCAGUAGUAAUGACUGCUGUCUUCAGAGCACUUGUGGUGGUUCCCAAACUCACAAAUGGCUCACAGGAGCAAUGAGAAAAGCUCCUAAGAAAGGAGCCUUUUUUGCUUGAAAAGACUCAGUUAUAGCUCUUCACUGGCAGGACAAACAGCGCUUUGGAAGGGGUAGGUGAUUCAGUGCUCGCUGCUUGCAGCUGAAGCCAUGCCAUUGACUAGGGGAGAAUUCAGGAUUCAGUUAUUUGGAUGCUCACAGAGAAGGGGGAAGCUUUGGGUUCCAUCUCCAUGGCAAGCAUUAGCUCUGUAUUUUAUCAGGUUGUUUUGAAUAGUCUGUAUGUGGAUCAGAAAGCAGGUCUCAUUCCUCCCUCCUACUUGAGAGCCAUAAUCAAUAGCUUAGAGAACCAUGACUGCUUUUCUCUUCUUUCUCAGAUAGUUAUCUGGGCCUUCAAAGGAGAACAAAAUAAUGACAGAAUACCCAUCGUGUUGCAUAAGCUGGGGGAUUGUCAGUGCCUCAGAUACACAGUAAGAUUGCAUGGUGAGUUGUGAGAUGGCAGUGAUACCCCUUCACAUUUAGUAUGUGAAAUACCCCAGGUUUUUGUGUGUGGCUUGUAACUAAGGAGAUUGGCUGGGUGCGGUGAUGAGUCAAGGGCAGCCCAUGCUGCUCCACGCAGUCCCAGCACUUGAGUCAGUGAUAAGUGUAUGCAUGGCAUUCCUUAAAAAGGUGAACAAUUCCAGCUCACCGCCCUGAAGUGCUGGAACACAGAGUUGGAAGGUUGUUCAGCUUCUUUGCAAAGCCACCUGUAGUGCCAACUAGUUGUGUAACGGGCUGAAGUGAGUCUGGAGCUCAUUGAUGAGUGUGUCAGCAAUUGCAAUAAUCUUAUCAGUUACUGUAGUAACAGCGUUUCCAUUGCAGUGUAAGAGACAGCAGUCAGUGUUUAAACUCCAGAUUCAUAUUGCUACAUGAAUGUAGUGUUGAUUACACGUUGGAGAGUGAGGAACACAUAAACUAGUUUUCUCAAACUUAUCUAUCUCCUUGAAUGUUUUAUGGGUUCUCAGUUACCUGUCAAUGCAUGUUUGCAAUGUCUAUUGCUGUAGUUGUUUAAGGGUAAAGGCAGAUUUAAAAGGCUAUAUGAUAUUGUAAUAAUGAGUUGCCACCUUUUGAUGCAGGGCUGGCUUCUUUGAUGAGUAGAUUUUUUUGGUGAGCAAAGAGUAUAGGCGCUGAUAUUUCAGGGGAAAAGGGACUCUUCCUGAUCAGACGUGGUCAGAAGCGUACAACAUGUACCCUCUCCCAUAUUCAGAUACUGAGACAAAAUAUUAUACAUUUUGUGUCUUAAUAGUCCCAUUAAGUCCGAUAAAUCCUGUGAUCUGUAGCAGAACAACUGCAAAAGAUGGGAGCUAGAAGCUAUUUACGUCAGAUACUAGUGUGUUGUAUCAGCAUGAGCAAGUAUUUCUGUAUCUUUGACUCAUACCAGAGUCCAGAUAGCGUGUGACAAAGCCACUGACAUCAUUAACACCACUAUCAGGGGAAGCCUCCUCACUUCAACAGUUCAAUUAACUGGCUUCUGCAAUGGGUGGAAUCUCAUUAUUAAUCAUCUUCUAUACCACAAAACAUGGUACUUGAAAUUUGCUGGUUCAUAGUUUGCUCUGGUGCUGUAGAGAAAGCAGAAGUGUGCAGUCUUGCUGAAAGAAAUGGUUACAGACUGUGACAAUCACAUUUUCAAGUCGCUAUGGAUACAGAUAUUUCCUAGUCAAGACCCUUUAAAAAGCUAAGGAAAGGGGGCUCAUUCACAAACAGUAGGAUUUUAAGAUUUUGCAGCUAUUUGUGUUCUACUUUCUCGCCAGGAGUACUAAACACUCCUUUCAGCUUGUGCAUUGUCACUGGCUCCAGUCACUGAAGUGGGUGCAUCACUGAGCACCUGAGCUGUGUUCCUCCUCAGUCUGAAAGUGCUAUGUUAUCACCUCACAGUUCUAAUCUUUAGAGCACUUGACAGGUCCUCCCACUGCCAGGACAAAUGCUAUCACUGUCAUGGCCAAAUAACCUAAAUGUGAGGAAACAGAUACUGAAGUUAAUCAACUUUACAAACAUGACAGGAGCAUUUAGAGACCCCAGUUCAACAGAUACUUAAAUAGAUGUUUAAAUUCCUUUCUUUUAAACAAAUAAUGUAAAUACCUGUGAAAUACCCCUGCUAAGCUUGCUCUUGGAGGCUUUAGGCUUUCUGAUUGCUGGGGUGGUGCUUUGAUCACCUCCUGUUACAAGUACUUUCUAUAGAAAAGCUCUCCUGUUGUUCAGUCCUUUCCAUAAGCUACAUUUAAACACCCAAAUUAUUAAUACAUACAAGCAGUUGUCAUGGAGACAGUAUUAUGCAAAGUGGGGUUUUCUUAAUAAGCGGCACAAAGUUGGCACAUCCCACAUGCCUUGUACAGACAAUUCCUGCGGAAUGUUUCCUGCGUUACACAUGGGAUAGAUCCAUUUCUUUGCUUUUCAUGCCAGCAUGCUCUGGAGAAACCACUCUUUCUGGCUUUCAGAUGGCUGGCUUUAGGAAUGUGAAAAAUGUAGGAGCUGUAAGAGGUGUUGGGUUUAGUUCAGGUCAUAAGAUCUUAGCAAGGGGCCAUACAGCUCAUUUCUGUGAGCCCUCAAACACAACGUGACAGCUGAAUUAGGGCUGAAACCACUGUGGGAUAUAUUUUCUCUUCUCGUCUUGGUGUGUACACUUACAGCAAAAUGCAGUAACUAAUCCAAAAGGAGGCAGUUGGCUGAUGUAGCUGGGGAGGCUGCAGGGCUGUAAUGAUGGUUGUUUUCACUGGAACAAAACUGCAAUCCUAUUAAAUGCCUAUAAAUCCAAGAGGACCUGGUGCUGUACCUGCAGACUUAAGGGUAUUAAACCUGAACUCUCUGAGAUGUUUUGCCCAUACUUGUCAUAAUACUUCUGCUUUUUAACUGUGCCCUUGCAAAGUAGCACACAGCACAGUUCAUCUCAUAAGUAGGACUCUUUCUACCUUUAUUCUGUGCUUCCUUCUUUUGUCUUGUCCUGGAGAUCCUGUUACACUUAUGCCAGGCAGCACCUAACUGAUGAUGCGGACAUUCUGUAGCCUAUUUAUUUGAGUGAAUGGAUGAGAUUCUCUUUUUGUUAUAGUUACUGCUUUCUCUUUUUUUUUCCCCACAGAUACUCUUCAGUUAAUGCUACAUCACAGUUACUGUCAUAAUGACCUUCAUCUGGGCCAGGCAACCAGAGAAUAAAGUUACAGAAAGACUGCAAAAAGGAUUGCAGCAAGAAAACAUGAGGUAGUCCUUCCUCCCUUUGCUGCCAGGUAAAUGUCUGUUUCCUUCAUAGCACUGCCAGUAUCUUGUAGAGAAGGAAGCAUGAACCCACUGGGGCUGUACCCAUGACUUUUAGAAGCAUGUUAAUACCGUACCCGUGUUGGUUUGGAGAUGUCAGUUGUCUUGUGUGACAAACAGGUCCACAAAGCCUGCUAAAGAUGGCUUGGCCAAACCACCACCAAGCCCAGCACCAGCUCUUGAGCUGGAUUCCAAGCAGUGCUGUGUCCUGGCUGCUCCUUAAAUGCUUCCUCCAAAUAGAGAGACCAGGGAGGGAAGUUUCCUUUUGAAAUCUAUUUGUGUAUGUGCUAAAGGACAAAGGAGAUCCAUGAUCUAGUCACUGCACAGGCACACUUAUUCUUAGAUCAUGAUUUUGUUUCACUGUGCUUAACAAGUGUAUUAUUAGUAAUAGCUGGUUACAAAUAAUAACCUGGCCUUAUUUUUAACCUAAUACUGCAUUGGAUUUCAUUGCAAUAGGUGGGUUCACUGCUGUGCUUUGCUCUUUGAGUAUUAUCUUUCAGAAUUUCAGUGCCUUCCAUCUUCAGCAUUAAAAAUAGGUGGCAAGUUGAGUAAUUAUUAUCGCUCCAAAUCUCAUGUGCAGCCUUACAUAACAGUGUUCUCACCAAAAGCCUGAUUUUAAGGGUGGAGUGGAAGAACAUGCUGCAGCAACCUGAAAUUAUUUGCUCUACUGUAGCAGGGUUAUACAGAGCCCAGAUAGAACUGUUUCUUCUGAGGAAGCUCUGAGAGCCAGUCUAAUAUUAAUGAAAAUAAUAAUGUGUGGAAUGCCUCAGCUUUGGCAUUAUGUUGUCAGCACUCCUCAGUCCUGAGUAGAGGCCUUCUUGGCAAUCCUCUGUUGCCCAAGCAGAAACUACCUGUCAUGCCAACUCAGUGACAGUCCAAAUACUUGUGAGUUUAGUAACAGUAAAUAUAUAAACAUGCAAAGUGAAAUAACAGUGGCAAAUUACUUGGAAAGAGACUAUCCCCAGCUGGACAGAGCUACCCUUGAUAAACAUGAACUUCCUCAUUAGUAACACUGUGUUCAUAGGCAAAGUGCUGUCUGUUUUUACUAGCUAAGACUGUUUACCCUUCCAACCGUGAGCUGGGUUCCUUAUGUCCAUCAUACUCAUGUCACUUUGGAAGGACGAAAAACAGUUGGGAAGAGGCAGUGGUCAGUCCUGAGAACAUCAGGUACCUUCUUUUAACUCUAACAAACUCUCAGCUCUCGUGGUGAUCACAGUAACAACAAACCCUGAUCUCUUCUAUUUGCAUAAUAUAUUUUAUUGUUUCAUCUCCUGUUUCAUUGCAUGCUGUGACCUUCUUCCUUCAUCGAUGCAUCAAAGCUGCAUCAUUCUUCCUGAUUGCCAUUUUUCUCUUCCAUCCCUUUUCCUGUGCAUAACUUCCUUUCCUCCCCCCUUUCAGCCUCAUUGAAUCAGAUUUAGCCAAAUGAUCCACAACUGCUGAUAAGCUCUGGCAAUUGCAUAUAGAGGCUUUUCUUCCUGAGGUUGUGCAUAGCAUGAAAAUAAAAACCACACUGUUAUAAAUUUUACUAAUAAAAAUCUUACAUUUGGCAAAAGUGUGAGAAAUGGCCAUGAAUGGACCUGUUAAUUUCGCUGCUAGAUGGUGAUGCCAGAACUCUUGGCAUUCUGCCUGGAGCUGGGAUCUUACUGUCAGGGUCUAACUUCCUUUUUGAUGUCUACAACAUUAGUGAUGGCUGCUGAGUGUGUUCCCUGGCACAGUAAUGCUCUCCUCAUGUUAGACCUAGAAUGUGCACAGCCACUGCAUCCUACAGAUGCUGACCCUCAGCUGUUGGAGACUCAAGCCAACAGAUUCUCCAAGUUUGUAGGCUUAAAGCUGGGCUCAUGUUGUGAAUGCUGAGUUCCAGCUGUGUUAGCUGAAUCACUAACUGAAUUUCACUCACAGGCAGUAACUGCAUCUAAAAGUGUCGGUCUCUGUGUAUUCCAAAGCAUGAGCUAGUUCUAACCUUGCUGCCGUGGUACAGAGAUUUACUCUAGGAGUACGUAUCUAGCACAAACAUGACGUUAAUUUGUACACUUCACCAGUACUGGUUUUCCUCCUCAGAUUACAAACUGAAAAGAUCAAUGAAAUGAUGACUUGUUUUUGUGAGAUGAAUGGGAACUCCAUAAUUAAUGAUACCAGGUAUAUUAGCAGAGAGAAGAACUAGUUUCAGAAGACUGUCAUUAACUUGAGCAAUUGGAAUUGUUCAGUUCCAUAAUGGAUGUGUAUUUAUUACAGCACUGCAUGAGCGGAGAGGCGAUGCAGGGUCUAUUACAACAGUGGUGCACCUUAUCUGCACAGAAUGAGAGGCAGAAGUUUGCUGGCUUCACAAGGGAGCCUCUCCAGCAUGGAACACUCUGGGACACUGCACAGCAAGUUUAAUUCUGAUUCAUGUUUUACUAUCAAAAAUCACUUGUAAAACCCUGGCUCACCUCCCUCAAAGAGUGUUUAUUUGGGAAGUGGCACCUUCCAGGCACUGAAGCUCUGAUACAAAUUGGCCUCAACAGAGUAAGUGUUAAACAUCCCAUUCUUGUGUUGUAGCUGUUCCCUGGUGAAGUCCCUCAAUGUACGUUUUCAUAAAUUGCCCUCUCUGUCCUGACUGUAGUUAUACUUCCCUUAAAAGGUAUCUAUUACAUCAGAAAAUCAAUGCUAUUCAUUCUUGUAGUAGUCCAAAAAGCUUUACUGGUAUAGCUACUGCUGCUCUAUUUUUUGACAGUGUCCAAUUGGAGGCAAAUGUACCAAAAUAUGUCAAGACUUACUCAUGUAGAGAUAAUAUAGCAAGUGAAAGAAUUUCCACCAUAAAGUUCCAGGAGUUAAGGUGCUACUCGUUGGAUGACAAUUCCAUAAGCGGAGAGAACAAACUUUCUUAUUUUUCAUGAGACAAGAGUUUUAGUGACACUGGUUAAAACAGAAGAAGAAAACCCAACAGCAGUGACAUGACUUUUAUCAGCAGCAGUGGACACUGCUGCUGAGACUUUUUCUCCAUUGAGCCUAAAGAGCAGAGGUUUUAGAAGUCCAGCUUUCACUGUCAGUAACACCCUACAGCCACCAAGAAAGGAAGUCCAUCUGAAGCACUUCAGAGUAAUGCUUGAUCAAUGUCAGUGACCACCUGGAAAAUGCAACAGAGGAAAGCUCAUGGAAAAUCGUAAAUAUGGGACAAUAAAUAGGACGAGUUAUUGCAAUAAUAAGUGGAAUUUGCUUCCUAAUUCCUAUGAUAAAAAGGUUUCUAGACCUCACCACUCAUGAACUCCUCCAGUUUCUUUAUUAGCUUUGCUGCUCAGCAGGAUUCUUCAGCUACUUUACAGACACCUUGCAGUACCAGAUGGUGCAGUGAUCAAGCAGAAAUUGCUUCUCCCCCAAAAUACAGGCUGGACAAGAGAGCCCCAGAAAGGCUUUCCCACUAGCCCCAAUAACACAGCUUCCAUGUAACCCAAACUCCUACCAGUUCCAGUUAGACAUGUGAAGCAGCAGUUCAGGUCGCUUCCACUAGGUAUUUGUCUAAUUCUGUCUCUUUUACUGCCUCUGCAGGUGAUUUAUCCUCAGUUCACCCCUGUGAACACCAGCAGUCAAGGUACUGCCUGAUCUCUUCAAUCACCCUGUAGUAACUCACUACUAAUGAGUGACUGGUCAUCGUGCUGCAGAGCAUCCUCAGUCGGGCUGGUAACAGAAAACAGCAAAGGUAAUCAUCAAAUACCUGUUAAUUUCCUGUUAGGUUUUUAAUUGGAAUUUCUCUUCUCUAACAGAUCUUCUUCCAGAAAGGCAUGUUUGCAUCUUUUCCCUAAUCAUACAUGAUUAUGCAGAUUCUUUGUAUGUUACCUAUGUAUACUAAUCCCAGUAGCAUGGUAUUAAUUCACAACACAGUCAGUGAAUUUAGACAGGGAUAUAGCAGAAAUGUAACUAAAACAUGACUACAAUAUGACAGCUAUGCAAUUACUACCCUUUUUUUCCCUUCAGAUACUGACCAGGCCAAAAUCACUAUACGGGGUUCAGUUUGUAAGGCCAAGCUUGUGGUUUCACAUCCUGGAUGAAGCAGCCACCCUUUUCCCUGUGCCCCCCUCACUCUUCCCUUCCCAGGCUACUGUCUCAGUGAUGCCACUGCAUCUUAGUGAGGCUGUUGCGCAGGAAAAUGAUCCAAGUUCAAAAUAACCAUCUUGUGGGUUAUUUUAGUCUGAAUCAAAUCCUUGCCUGGGUUCACUGCACAACCCUGCAUGCAAUUACGCCAGCACAGCUCAGGGAAAGAUGUGGGACUAGAAACAAACAGCAUGACUUUGGGCUGCACAGGGCAGAGCUGCUGCCAAAGGAAACAUUAGUGGAGCUGUACAGAAUAUUUGUUUGGAAACAGUUUUAAAGUGAAGUUUCAGAACACUUGCAGAUGAAACGUGUUUAAUUGGUGGGAUAAAAGGCUGCAGCCAAAGUUAAGUCUGGCUUCUAAUUAUACAGAGUAAACAGAUACAAAAUUAGGCUCUGUGAAGUCUAAAUAGGUAAUUUCACAGUUAAUAUUUAACUACUGGAUAUUUAACAAUAAAAAGCAUUAAAUGGUUUUAAAUCCUCAUGCCUGGCAUGCUGCUCACCAAGCUACAGCCUACAAUCGCUGUAAAGGGGUUUCCUGGGCGAUGGUGACCAUGAACUCCAGCAUCUCCUCACCCAGUGUGAACACACACCAAAAAUGGCUUUUGCCUAAAAUGUCCCUUCUCACUUUUUCACAUUAUUUCCAUUGAUGAUGCUGGGGAUGGGAACCUUGGGAAGCAGAGGUUGUUGAGAACCAUACCCUGUAGAAAUCUGUUGUUUAAUGUUCAGCACACAGGAAUAAUGCCUUUUGUUCAAACUAUACGUAAUGUUUUUCAUCUGGCAGCUGUUUUCCCUGUAAAUGAUAAAACAUUAAAACCUGAACUAAAAAUAAUCCUGUUUGCUGUUCCAGUUCAGGAAAUUUCUAUCAGCCAAGUUUUGCUGUUGUUUUUUUACUGACUGUUAUUCCCAGUAUUCAACUCAGCAAGUGCUGACUCUACAAUCAGAGCUGGUUUCAUACAACCUUCAUUUACUGUCUUUUGGCUUUGGAAAUAAUGACAAAACAUCAGUUGGAACACUCAGCCCAGGGUUUUCUUAUCAUGCCUGGAAUAAACCAGCAGAUGAUCAUCUGUGAGAGAAGAUAAUUCCAUAGCAAUGCACAGACCCCAAAAGACGUCCCAUAUUCCCUAGCUGGAAGAUCCUUUAGCAAGCUCGUAAGUUUUUGAUGCUGGUGUCUAAAACCAGCUGUAAAAUCCAAACACCAUUAGAUGGGAAAAGUAGGAAACUAUCAACAUGAGAAACCUCUGAGGAUGCAUCCUGCACCCCUUUCCCCUUAUGUUGGAAAUGCUUCUCCCUCAAAAUCAACAUUCAUUUUUCCACUGCAGUGAUGCUGAUUAGAUACAAGCCCAUGAGCUCAUCAAGAAUGAGUGUGUUGUAAGAACAAUUUUAUCCUGCAAUAAAUACUUAAUACUUUAAGUUCUCACCUUCCCAAAUCCUGGGCCAUUCUCACAGGCAUUAAACCAAGCCCUUUUCAUCUUUCAGUAAUUCUACAUCUUUGUUAUUCCCACUGUACUUGGAAGGAGAGUUUAAUCUUGUUUCUUGUAAGAAUUUGGCUUUCAUCUCUGGUGAGAAUCUGAUAGCAAAAGGUUAUAUUAAAGAAUAUGUUCUCUUAAAAUUAUAUGCCAGCAUCCAAAGUAAAUCUGUUCUUUAACAACUCAGAGAGCCAAGUACCUCCUUAUUAGUUCCAAGGAUAAUGCCAGUUGUAUAGAUUACAAACGGAGCUUGUCAGCAAAGAUCACAAAGAUAGUUUCAAGUUCUUUGCAUCAGAAAAUACCAACACUGUAUCUGUAUACAACACACCGUAGAUACAGCACUCGUGUUCCUGCUCUGGGAUUUCCGAGGGUGAAGGCAAACCCAGAGCUUGUAGAAUAAUCCUUGUUGGGAGUGGGUGCAGUGCUGAGAUCUGUCCGGAGCGAUGGGAGAAAUCCCCUGGUUUCAGAAGGCUCCACAGCCUCACCUGCUGGCUGCUGUGCUCCCCACAGCUCCGAGGGCAUGGAGAGAGAGCCUUUCAAAACAGUGCUUAAUGCAGCAUCGCACCGUGAUGCCCCUCUUUGUGUCAUAAAGAAAACUGAUAAACGUUUUUCAGAAGUAUUAUAUGAAGUGCUCGAUGGAGGUUCUUGUAGAAAUGUGGCCAAGCUGAGUGCGCAGCAAGUUAAAACUAGGCAUUGCAUUUCCUAAGCUGCCAUAACCCAUUGACCUCUUUUCGUACAUUAGAAGGUGAUAACCUUUACUUGCUGUUUGCAUGGGGGAAUUUGCUUUAUUCAGCCUCUGUCUGAAGUUUUCUCUUCACUGUUCACUGGGUGAUUUCUCCUUGCUCUGGAAAGGGCCACAAUCCAGUGCUUUUCCAUUAUAACUUAUGCCUCUUGAGCAGGCUCAGCACAGUGAACACUUGGCCAGUGGCUCUGAAUCCACUCUUGUGUAGGAGAACAUACAACUAAUGUUUUGUGAGAGCUCAUACAGAGCUGUAGGGAUGUACAGGCUUUUGGGGACAUAUUCAGGCUCCUCUGAAUAUCUCGACUUCACACACAAAUUGAGGACAGUUUACCAGUGUGUGCAUAGUUAUGAAUUUAUAGCUGUUCAUAUCAUUGGGUUAUUUGUAAUUCCCAUCAUUUGGGUUAUUAAGAAGCAUCUUAUCUAGUGGUAUUUGGUGUCUGUUCUCGCAUGCUCUCAUAGUUUUCUGUCAUUGCACCUCCUUCAGUAACAUCUGGGAUGUCUGGAUCUUGUUCUGUUGCUCUGUAACCUAGUUCAUGAGUUUUGGCUCAUCUUGCUGAAUUGGUGCAGCGGGUGGCUGGAAGGUGAGUUGUUAUUUUAGCUCCCAGUUCUAGGGUAGGUAAGGGCCCCAGAGUCUUACCUAAAUUAUACAGGAGAACAUACUCCCUUUAGGAGCACUCCACUGGCUGAGGACUGUCCCAAAAUACUCCUCUCAUUUGUUAGGGGUUAUGAAUGGACUAUCAAGGUAGCUGUGGUAGCUAUAUAGCAACUCAGACCUUUUUCACCUCCCUUGCUGUCCCCUUCUCUCUACAGCCAACAAUCCAUCCCUGUAUCUUUAUUUCCAGUUUGCAUUUGUGUGAGCUGCUGUACCCUUCUGUGGAUGUCAUUCACACACAGACAGAGCCUCAAGUGCUUACAGUCAUGCAGUUUUUGAACACAGAAUAGGAAACAGUGCCUGUCUGUGCAGUUUGUUAAAAUAAAGGGCUCGGGUGUGAAAGGCAGGAUCCCUAUCCCAGUAAAACAGAGACAUUCUUCCACAAGCAGGUUAGAAAUGUGAUUUUAGUGUUUAAUUAUUGCAUGGUUGCGGUGAUGUGAAGUAUUUCCUGAGAAUUUCUGCUUCUCUUCAAUGGCUCUUCAAUGAAAACCAGGAGCUUCUAACCUAAACAAGUCAAUCAGAUGUCUGAAAUAGAUGGAGUAGUGCCCCUUUAAAUGCAUAGGAAGACACUGGCUUCCUUGUGUCAUGUCCUUGUUCUGAAAGAACAUCCUCUGUCCCUCCAUUUCCACUCUGCUUCCAGCUACCACAGCUGGGUGAUGGUGGCCACUUCUGCAGUGGGACCUUUAUAAUGUCCCUUUAUGCUGUCUGUCUGUGAUUCAUCUUUAGGGAAACCUAAAAGAAACCCAAAUAAACACACUCAGACAAAAUAAA